rnacentral:lncRNA from 1 species
CGCGCUAGCCGAGGCGCUCGGAGAGCCCGAGCCGCCCGUGGCCGGUGUCCUCGCGCCCCGCGGUCUCCGACUAGGCUCAUUCCAGACACCGUGCUUGUGGACUUGGUCAGUGACAGCGACGAAGAGGUUCUGGAAGUGGUCGCGGACCCAGGAGAGGUGCCUGUCGCCCGCCUCCCCGCACCGGCCGCACCUGAGCAGGACAGCGACAGUGACAGUGAAGGGGCGGCCGAGGGGCCUGCAGGAGCCCCGCGUACAUUGGUCCGACGGCGGCGGCGGCUGCUGGAUCCCGGGGAGGCGCCGGUGGUUCCUGUGUACUCUGGAAAGGUACAGAGCAGCCUCAACCUCAUUCCUGAUAAUUCAUCCCUCUUGAAACUUUGUCCCUUUUUUUUUUUUCUCUCAUAUUGAGACCACUAAUGAAACUAGAGUUCUAACUGGUCUACCCUGGUGUAAGUAGACUGUUCUGAGCCCUCAACCCUGAUUCUCAGUGGUUGCUUCUGGGCUGUGCUGGUUGCUGACUAUUAUAUGUUACUUAUAAACUGUCUGAAAUGCACCUUUGUGGGGGAGAACAACUUUUAUUUUUAAUUAUAAUGAGCCAGUUUUCUAAGCUUUAUCUAUUAAAGUAAAAUUAAUCUACUAA